GGAUGGUCCGGGUUUGAGUCGCAAAUAAAAACGGAGCACGGUGGGAAGGUGCCUUUUCCUUCGGACGUGAACGGUCGCAUAAUGGGCCUAUUGACAAACUGCCUGAGCUUCCCCUGGGCGGACGACACAUGAGUGGUGAGAGGUGGGACAGAAUCCAUUGAAAACAGAUGUUCCCUCACCUAGCCAGCUAUUUUCCAGCAGGGGCACGCAGGAGCGAUUCUUCCACGCGACCUGAAGCGCCCUUUCAAAACACUCGCGCGCCAACGGAGGAGAGCGACGGCAAUGCUGUGGUGAAUGAAUCUGAGCAUCCGCACUUUUCGCACGUGCCUCGUAAGUGUCGAUGUGAUGGGCUGCCAUAAGGCCCAUUGGGUAGGUUCACUCUGUUAGCGUACUGAUGAUUUCAAGCCCCCACACGGAGCUCUCCGUGGAAGCCAAUGAUCCGUGACGGAUAGGACGGUUCC